rnacentral:rRNA from 1 species
CGUCAAAUCAUCAUGCCCUUUAUGUCCUGGGCUACACACGUGCUACAAUGGCCGGUACAGAGGGAAGCUAAGGGGUGACCUGGAGCGAAUCCCAAAAAGCCGGUCUCAGUUCGGAUUGCAGGCUGCAACCCGCCUGCAUGAAGUUGGAAUCGCUAGUAAUCGCGAGUCAGCAUAUCGCGGUGAAUACGUUCCCGGGUCUU